CCAGGAAUAAGAACCGUAGCAUCUCCAUCUUCAGCUUCAGUUUCCUCUACAGCGUCAAGGCAUAGAAGAAGUCCAUGACAAAAGACAAAGAACACUAAAGAUGCUGCUGCAAGCCUGGGAAAUUUCCACGAUGAUAAGUUAGUGGAGAUGAUACAUAAACACAACAAUAAUGGAUAGAAGCCCAUCUGUGAAAUGGGAUGACGUUGCUGGACUUGAUGGAGUUACUGGACAUGGUUAUGUUACCAGAGAAAUGAAGAGAUUUGUUCAUUGGUCUCCGGAGAACAGCGAGAGGCUCAACACCUUCAGGCAAUACUUGGUUUCAUUGCUUCAGUGCUGCAAUGCUUAAUUCACACCAAGCCUCUUCUUGAGAGCCUUCUCUCAUACAAUACAAGAGUCAAAACCCUUGCAACUGUGGCAGCGAGACAUUCUGUGUUAUGCAGGCUCUCCAAGAUCUCAAGUCUUCUUCUUUGACGUCAAAAUGGGUGGGUGAGACUGAGAAGUUAGUUAAAACACUGUUUAGAGUUGCAAUAUACAGGCAACCUUGUGUGAUAUUUAUGGAAGAAGUUCGCACUUUUUUCCCUUUCCAGCUGUCUUAUUUAGUUAAAUUAGGCAGAGAGCCUAGUCUUACCUGAGUUGUAGACAAUAAUAAUAAGUUGUAUUUGACCGAAGUGAUCCAUGAAUCAUGAUCGUUCACUAUAAACAUGUGGUCACUUGGAUCGAUGGGAGUGAUCAUCAGGCCAAGCUUGAGUAAAAAAACAAAUGGGAAGAGCUUGAAAGUUGGAACUCAGAAUUUGGCUAUUAA